UACGUAGGCAGCAAGCGUUGUUCGGAGUUACUGGGCGUAAAGAGUAUGUAGGCGGUUGCGUAAGUUCGGUGUGAAAUCUCCCGGCUUAACUGGGAGGGUGCGCCGAAAACUGCGUGGCUUGAGUGCGGGAGAGGAGAGCGGAAUUCCUGGUGUAGCGGUGAAAUGCGUAGAUAUCAGGAGGAACACCGGCGGUGUAGACGGCUCUCUGGACCGUAACUGACGCUGAGAUACGAAAGCGUGGGUAGCAAACAGG
rnacentral:rRNA from 1 species